GAGCGCGCUCCGCUCUUCGUGGAAGACUGGACGCGGAAAGACGCAGCGCUCCCCCAAACACAGAGCUGCGUAACUCACCAGACACUGCUGUUAAUGUGAUCAUCAGAGGACCAGACCAUGUUGGCUAAACUCUCACAGUUUUCAGAACUUCAUGAUGCUUCG